rnacentral:rRNA from 1 species
CUUAACACAUGCAAGUCGAGGGGCAGCAUGGUCUUAGCUUGCUAAGGCCGAUGGCGACCGGCGCACGGGUGAGUAACGCGUAUCCAACCUGCCUUACACUCUUGGACAGCCUUCUGAAAGGGAGAUUAAUACAAGAUGUUAUCAUGAGUAAGCAUUUUCGCAUGAUUAAAGGUUUACCGGUGUAAGAUGGGGAUGCGUUCCAUUAGAUAGUAGGCGGGGUAACGGCCCACCUAGUCUUCGAUGGAUAGGGGUUCUGAGAGGAAGGUCCCCCACAUUGGAACUGAGACACGGUCCAAACUCCUACGGGAGGCAGCAGUGAGGAAUAUUGGUCAAUGGACGAGAGUCUGAACCAGCCAAGUAGCGUGAAGGAUGAAGGUUCUAUGGAUUGUAAACUUCUUUUAUACGGGAAUAAACGAAUCCACGUGUGGAUUUUUGCAUGUACCGUAUGAAUAAGGAUCGGCUAACUCCGUGCCAGCAGCCGCGGUAAUACGGAGGAUCCGAGCGUUAUCCGGAUUUAUUGGGUUUAAAGGGAGCGUAGAUGGGUUGUUAAGUCAGUUGUGAAAGUUUGCGGCUCAACCGUAAAAUUGCAAUUGAUACUGGCAGUCUUGAGUACAGUUGAGGUAGGCGGAAUUCGUGGUGUAGCGGUGAAAUGCUUAGAUAUCACGAAGAACUCCGAUUGCGAAGGCAGCUUACUAACCUGUAACUGACAUUGAUGCUCGAAAGUGUGGGUAUCAAACAGGAUUAGAUACCCUGGUAGUCCACACGGUAAACGAUGAAUACUCGCUGUAGGCGAUAUACAGUCUGCGGCCAAGCGAAAGCAUUAAGUAUUCCACCUGGGGAGUACGCCGGCAACGGUGAAACUCAAAGGAAUUGACGGGGGCCCGCACAAGCGGAGGAACAUGUGGUUUAAUUCGAUGAUACGCGAGGAACCUUACCCGGGCUUAAAUUGCAACCGAAUAUGGCGGAAACGCUAUAGCUAGCAAUAGCGGUUGUGAAGGUGCUGCAUGGUUGUCGUCAGCUCGUGCCGUGAGGUGUCGGCUUAAGUGCCAUAACGAGCGCAACCCUUGCCGAUAGUUACUAACAGGUCAUGCUGAGGACUCUGUCGGGACUGCCAUCGUAAGAUGUGAGGAAGGUGGGGAUGACGUCAAAUCAGCACGGCCCUUACGUCCGGGACUACACACGUGUUACAAUGGGGGGUACAGAGGGCUGCUACCACGCAAGUGGAUGCCAAUCCCAAAAACCUCUCUCAGUUCGGAUUGAAGUCUGCAACCCGACUUCAUGAAGCUGGAUUCGCUAGUAAUCGCGCAUCAGCCACGGCGCGGUGAAUACGUUCCCGGGCCUUGUACACACCGCCCGUCAAGCCAUGGGAGCCGGGGGUACCUGAAGUGCGUAACCGCAAGGAGCGCCCUAGGGUAAAACUGGUGACUGGGGCUAAGU